CGCGUAGGCGGUUUUGUAAGUCAGACGUGAAAUCCCCAGGCUUAACUUGGGAACUGCGUCUGAUACUGCAAAACUUGAGUGCGGGAGAGGGAUGUGGAAUUCCAGGUGUAGCGGUGAAAUGCGUAGAUAUCUGGAGGAACACCGGUGGCGAAGGCGGCAUCCUGGACCGACACUGACGCUGAGACGCGAAAGCUAGGGAGCAAACG
rnacentral:rRNA from 1 species